GCUCUGGUGGUUCAGUGGUAGAAUUCUCGCCUGCCACGCUGGAGGCCCGGGUUCAAUUCCCGGCCAGUGCA
rfam:Nematostella vectensis strain CH2 x CH6 NEMVEscaffold_2536_Cont42200, whole genome shotgun sequence.